UAAGGAAUAUUGCGCAAUGGGCGACAGCCUGACGCAGCGACGCCGCGUGGGGGAUGAAGGUCUUCGGAUUGUAAACCCCUUUCGGCAGGGAAGAUGGAACGGGUAACCGUUCGGACGGUACCUGCAGAAGCAGCCACGGCUAACUUCGUGCCAGCAGCCGCGGUAAUACGAAGGUGGCAAGCGUUGUUCGGAUUUACUGGGCGUACAGGGAGCGUAGGCGGUUGGGUAAGCCCUCCGUGAAAUCUCCGGGCCUAACCCGGAAAGUGCGGAGGGGACUGCUCGGCUAGAGGAUGGGAGAGGAGCGCGGAAUUCCCGGUGUAGCGGUGAAAUGCGUAGAGAUCGGGAGGAAGGCCGGUGGCGAAGGCGGCGCUCUGGAACAUUUCUGACGCUGAGGCUCGAAAGCGUGGGGAGCAAACAGGAUUAGAUACCCACGUAGUCCCUGAGCGGGCUGGCAAGGCGCAU
rnacentral:rRNA from 1 species